rnacentral:lncRNA from 13 species
AUGCCUGGCAGUGGGUUAAGACUUCGAUGCUUUUUUUUCUUUCUCACAGCAACCCUGUUGCUGCAUUUAUUACUUCCUUGUUGGCUGUCCAUUUGUUGGUUAGUGUGGUUUUUUUUUUUUUUGGAGGCCGUCUCCCUCUGUCACCCACCCUGGGAAUGCAGUGACAAUAUCUCGGCCCACUGUAACCUCCACCUCCUGGGUUCAAGCGAUUUUCCUGCCUCAGCCUUCAAAGUAGCUAUGACUACAGGCGUGCGCCACCAUGCUUGACUAAUUUUUUGUAUUUUUAGUAGAGGUGGGAUUUCACGAUGUUGGUCAGACUGGUCUAGAACCUCUGACCUCAAGUGAUCCUCCUACCUCAGCCUCCCAAAGUUCUGGGAUUAGAGGCAUGAGCCACCACGCCCAGUCUAGCUUAAGACUAAGCCAUUUCUAGUUACUUUUUGUGUAUAAUGUAAGAUAAGCAUCAAUGUUAUUAUUUUGCAUGCGGAUAUCCAGUUUUUCCAACAUCAUUUACUGAAGACAUUAUUAUUUCUCCAUUGUAUAUUCUUGGUGGCCUUGUAAAAGAUUAGUUGACUGUAUAUGUGUCUCAACCCAUGUCUUUGAGACUGUGGCUUAUAAUCUUGACAGUAUACCAUGUUUUCGUAUUUAUUUUUUAAAGGACAGAAACAGUUUCUAGUAUUUUCCUGACGUCUUUCCAUUCCUCCUUGUACAGUGCUAUGUACUGAAUGCUGCUUUCCCUUUUGCCCAUGUUUUAUUUUCAGAAGGGGCCUCCUUAGUAUUUUAUGGAUCCUCCCUCCCUUUGAGAACAAAGUUGCUAAUGUUCAGAUAAAAGACUCUUCAUUAAAAAAUAGUUCUUUAACUCAACACAUAUUUAUUGAGUGCUUACUGUGUGUCUAAAACCUCAAGGCACUAGGGAAAAGUGGUGAACAAAACAGAUUAAGUUUUCUCCUAAUGGACUUAUGAUUUAAUGGUUCCUUACGUUAAGAUUUAGUGAUAAUAAAUGUCACUAGGCUGGUGUCUCCUCA